rnacentral:rRNA from 1 species
UGCUUUUGAGAUUCUCUCUUUGCGAACAAGCCCGUUCCCGUCUGAUCUCGGAAGCUAAGCAGGGUUGGGGCCUGGUUAGUACUUGGAUGGGAGACCACCCAGGAAGACCAGGUGCUAUAGGUGU